rnacentral:lncRNA from 1 species
AUCGGGGUCUGGUGCCGUCUCUGUCUUCCUUCCCAGGGCCGGUUCAAAGUGCCAGCAGCACCACCUCACCAUCCAUCUGGGAUGCGACCCCUUCAUCAAGCAGAGGGUUGCGUACCUGUCUCAACCAGAGGCUUUGCCGCUUUCAGCAGCUAAACACUUCAGGACACAACU